rnacentral:tRNA from 1 species
CUGUGGCUUAGUCGGUUAAAGCACCGGUUUAACAAAUACGGGGCCGUGGGUUCGAAUCCCACCAG